AUGUGGGUUGGCUGCCUGUGCUGCUCCCAACACCAAACCCAUCCCGACACCCUGGAUCUGUUUUCAGGGUGCUCCAUGUGUACAUCUCCACCAAAUUCCCUGGCUGCACCGACCUGGCAGCUGUGCCAUGCUGGCACAGAUGGGAUUGCUGCCAGCAUUUAUCCCAAGACCAAGUGCUGGCAGCAGGAGUUCCCUGAGUGAUUUGUGUGUGAGCUGAAGCAUCUCUGUAAGAGACCAGAGCUACUGAUUGUAAACUGGGCAGCAACAGAGACUCUGCUACCAGCUUGGCUGAGCUGCCCCAGGGUUUAUCUGCCCUGGACGUUGAAACCCAUCCAUCAUUCCUGACCUAGACCUGCCUUGCUCUGGGUUUGGGGCCAGCGCAGGCUGAGGUGGAGCAGCUCUGGGGCAGAGAUAGCCAGGUUGUUGGGACAAGUGACUCUGCAGAGCUGCUUGCUCCCUGCAUGGGUUACCCAGGAGGGGCUCCACACACCCUGCAAUUACUGAAAAGGAAAGUUAAGUGAUUGUGGGAGCAACUUUGUUGUAGAGUUGAAGGCGUUAAAUGGGACAAAUCAUGGGAGAGCUAAUUCCUUUUAUUCGGUAUGGAAAACAAAUUAGCUGGGUACACAAGCCCUUUCUGACACUAUUGUUACUGUUAUUAUCCCUUACUGGUGCUGUUAGAAAUGAGGGCAUUGCAUUAGAGGGAAGGCCCAUUAUGCAAGUGUUUAGAUGUGCUGGUAACUGCUCUCUGCUGACAGGUAUUUACUUAAUGAUAUGUUGGAGUGAAAACCAGCAGCAAGGACAAGCUUUGGAGGGAGCUGGGAGUGCUGAGCUCUGCCUGGUCCAGCCUUGCCUGGACCUCCUGGAGCUGCCUGACACCUCCCACCCACAGCAGGCAUCUCCCAAAGCCCCUUUUCUGUACUUCCAGCAGGAUCCUGACCAGAGCGCGUUCCCAGACUGUGUCCUCAGUGCUCUCCCUGGUCCCAGGCCUGAUUCCCAUGGAUGUCUGCAGCCUCCGGAGCUGCCCUGACUUGCUUGCAAAAGGUCUUUCUGCUCCUGCCUGUGCUGGAGGCAAUGCCUCCUGUGGGUACCAGUGGGACUGGUCACGUUUCCGGUGUCAUGUGCUGUCCAUGACGGAUGGCAGAGCCAGUUUUUCUGCUCCAAAAGUGGGACUGGGGAGGAGACCGCAACACUCAAAUACCCAGAGCCCUGGUUGCUGCCAGCCAUCGAGGAGAUCACUUCUUUUUCAGCUCCAGGGUUUGGACGGGAAGAUAAGGAGAGAGAGGAGGACAAAAAAGAGAAGGAAGAAAAGGAGAAGGAAAAGACCGAGGGAGAAAAAGAGAAGGAGAAGCAGAAGAGGAGGAAGAAGGAAGAAGAAAAGGACCAAGGCAUUGCCAAGGAUGAUGAGAAGGAAGACAAGGAUUAGUCUUUCCGUGCUGGAGCAGCAGAACAUGCCCUGGGCACGCCAAGGAGGUGGAGAUGGAAAUAGCAGCUUGGGCUGGAGGGCAACUGGGCCACUCAGCCAAAUAAAGAUGUUGUGAUCUCCAAAGAGAAAUGCUAUUCAUUCACCUAGUCACACUGCCUACCCAGUGCUAUCCGUCCCUCUGCAAAAGGAAACACUCAAGGAAAGGCAGNNNNNNNNNNCCGGGGACCCUGGAUGCUGGCAGAGUCCAGCCGGCAGCAAAAGGGACCUCAGAGGAGGACGCAGAGCCAGCACCCCAACCCACUGCUUCUGCUGGCAGUAUUAGGACAAGCCCAGAAGUCUCACCAUCAAUAAAAAACUUCAAUGCA
rnacentral:lncRNA from 1 species